GCUGGUUUCGUUUCUUCCGGUCCUGUUGUCAACAUUCCAAGGCAGCAGAGCUGAGGAAUCGAAACUAAAGUCCCUCAGCCUUGGUUCUAAGAAAAUGAAACAGGAAAGAGGCAGCCACUGCAGUGAAAGCCUGUUCAAACCGGUUUCUUGAGCUACCCCACCCAGCCACGACUUCAGAAACCAGCCUGGAAACCAGCCUGCCCUGGGGCCACAACAGAGGAGUCCUUACAGGCCCUGCAAGAGAUCCAAAGGGCCACUCAUCAGAUGCUGUAUCUACUCAUCAAAAGCCUGCAUCUGAGCCUGCCCACGAAUUCUAGCCUGAAGACCUCGUAUGGGCCAAGAGGGUCAUGACCCAUGGUCUGGAGCCAGCACGGAAAGAGUCACACCCUGUGGUUAUCACCACUCCACAGUGGUGAGGACACCAGUGUCACCCUGUGGAUCCACCACACCCAGCUGACAGAGGCCACAGAGGACAACAGAUGGAUCCUCAUCAAGUCAUCUGACGCCCUGAAAAUAAGACUGUUGUGAAACCAUGUCUUCCUGGGAGCAUGCUGAUCCUGUCAUGGCCCCAGAAAAACAAACCCCACCUGUGAUCACCUGACCCGACCCAUUGGCCCAAACUGGCCCAUCUCCAGACCCUCAGAAUAUGAGCCCCCUAAAGCGGCAAGCUCCAAACUCCAGUUUUGAUGUGGGAGUGUCAUAUCAAUCUGUUGAUUUCAUUGGAUGAGCAAUAAAGAAACUGCUGGCCCUGAUAGGUUAAAAGAUAGGUGGGCGGAAUAAACAGAAUAGGAUGCUUGGCGGAAGAGGAAGUGAGGUCAGACUCUGCGCUGCUUCCAGAGGGACCGGACAGCUGCCAUGCUCUGCUCUCCCAGGCAGCUGCAACCCACGAUGGAUUUAGGCUAGAAUCUUCCCGGUAAGCGCACCUUGGGGUGCUUACACACAUUACUAGAAAUGGGCUAGUCCAGGUGCGAGAGUUAGCCUAGAAGAGGCUAGAUAGAAAUGGGUCAAGCAGUUAAAUGAAUACAGUUUGUGUGUUGUUAUUUUGGGCAUAAGCUAGCCAAGUGGCCGGGGUGUUGGGGAUGCAGCCCCGCCGCUCCUAUUUCAACACAGUUUCCCAAGAAUUCCUUUAAUAACCCCGGGAAUAAAGGUGUAGGAGGAGCCCCUCAGUGUUUGGGUUGCCAGAGAGUUCACCAGUUCCUUCAUCAUCCUCAACUGGACAUAGGUUGGCACUGCUGGCUGUGCCUAGACACCAAGCCCCUAGUCAAACAUGCAGGGCUGUCUCUUCAACGGAAGGGAUAUAUAAUUGAAUUCUCACCUGAAGGCUGGGGUGGAUGAGGUUAAUAGUCAGGUGACCUGUGUUGUCUGUGGGGCCAGGCCACAGCUGGCUCCCCCAGGCUCUUAUGUCAAUCAUCCUCCUAGACUCACCUUGGGUGUCUCUCAGUCAAUAGAACCCUCUUUACAGAAGAGGUCACGUGUGCCUUACAAGGAGUUUCAAUGUAGUCAUGCCAUGAGCAUUAUUAUACACGGGAUGGAGUUAAUAUCACCAGGAAGCUUCUUCUUCACAAUUGUGCUAUGCGUACAUGGUCUGAAAUGAACUGCCUGGUACCAGACUCAGUGUGAGCCAGUGCCAGCGCUGAGUCCUGCUGACUGGGACCUCUUUCUCGUGUCAUGUUGACUGACACUCUGCUGGCCAUGGUGUUUGCAGAGACCCCACUGGUUCACGGCCAUCAUGGCAGGGAACAUGACAACAGACAGGCAGACACGGCACACGCAUGAGGCACAUACAUAGAGUCAAAUGGGAAAUGUUUGAACUUCUGAAACCUCAAAGCCCACCCCUCCCCCACAGUGACACGCCUCCUCCAACAAGGCCACACCUCCCAGUCCUUGGCAACCCGUUCCACCAACUGGACACCACACCAACAUUCAAACAUACGAAAAUAAGGGACUCCACUCAUUCUAACCACAAGUCAUUUCUUUCCUUCCACCUCGUGCAUCCUGGCUACACUGAGGUCAUCAGGUUUGGUGACAAGUGCCUUUGCCCACUGAGCCAUCUUCCUGGCUCAGAUGCUUUUUUUUUUAAAUAUGUAUUUAUUUAUUUAUUUAUUAUACAAUAUUCUUUCUGUGUGUAUGCCUGAACGCCAGAAGAGGGCACCAGACCUCAUUACAGAUGGUUGUGAGCCACCAUGUGGUUGCUGGGAAUUGAACUCAGGACCUUUGUAAGAGCAGGCAAUGCUCUUAACCACUGAGCCAUCUCUCCAGCCCGCCCAGAUGCUUUUCUGAGCUGACUUUAACAAAGGGGCAUUCAGCUGUGAAGCUGCAUGGCAGGCAGAAAGGGGCAAAGCUUCAAAGUGUGAGACUGUCCUGGUAAUUCAGUUUUCUUUUACAUUUUUAUUUUUUGAUUUUUUUGAAACAGAGUUUCUCUGUGUAGCUUUGUAACCUGUCCUGGAGCUCACUCUGUAGACCAGGCUGGCCUCGAAUGCCCAGAGAUCUACCUACCUCUGCCUCCUGAGUGCUGGGAUUAAAGGCAUGUGCCACCACCGCUGGUUUAUGGUGUAUUAAGCAAGGAAAGCACUCCAAGAACAGGAGUGGACAUCUGUGAUGUUUUGAAUGAAAAUGAUCCCCAUAAGCCAUUAGAAAGUGGCACUUUUAGGAGGUGUGGCCUUGUUGGAGGAGGCAUGUCACUGAAGGUGGGCUUUGAGGUCUCAGAUCCUCAAACCAGCCCCAGUAUCUUUCUCUUCCUGCUGCCUGGCAAUCCAGAUGUAGAACUCCCAGGUACUUCUCCUGCACCAUGUCUGCCUGCAUGCCGCCAUGCUUCCUGCCAUGUGACAAUGGACUAAACCUCUGAACUGUAAGCCCCAGUUAAAUGUUUUCCUUUGCUGUGGUCGUGGCGUCUAUUCACAAUAAUAAAACCUCAACUAAAACAACUUGUGAGAGAAAGAAGAAAAGCUUUGUUUGUGUUUGUUUUUGUCUGUGUAAUAGCCCUAGCUGUCCUGGAACUCGGUCUGUAGACCAGACUGGCUUCGAACUCACAGAGAUCCACCUGCCUCUGAGUGUUGGAAUUAAAGGUAUGUGCCACCAACACCCAGCUGGAAUAUCACUUCUUAAAAUGAGAAAAAUCCAUGAAUGGAGAGAUGCUCGGUGGUUAAGAGCACUGGUUGCCUUUCCAGAGGACCGGUUUUGGUUACCAACCCCACACGACAGCUCACAAAUCACGUGUGACUCCAGUUUCA